rnacentral:tRNA from 1 species
GGGGCUGUAGCUCAGUGGAAGAGCACUUGCUUCACAUGUAUGAGGCACUGGGUUCGAUCCUUAGCACCA